GCAUGGAUGGCUCAGUCGGUUAGCGUGCAGUGCUGAUAACGCCAAGGCUGCAGGUUCGAUCCAUGCAUGGGACAGCUGCA